rnacentral:rRNA from 1 species
GUGCCAGCCGCCGCGGUAAUACAGAGGGUGCAAGCGUUGUUCGGAAUUAUUGGGCGUAAAGCGCGUGUAGGCGGCUUUGUGUGUCGGGUGUGAAAGCCCUCGGCUUAACCGAGGAAGUGCGCCCGAAACUGCAGAGCUUGAGUGUCGGAGAGGAUCGCGGAAUUCCCGGUGUAGAGGUGAAAUUCGUAGAUAUCGGGAGGAACACCAGUGGCGAAGGCGGCGAUCUGGACGAUAACUGACGCUGAGACGCGAAAGCGUGGGGAGCAAACAGGAUUAGAAACCCUAGUAGUCC